ACGCUCGACACCUACGGGAGUCAGCAGUAGGGAAUCUUCCACAAUGGACGCAAGUCUGAUGGAGCAACGCCGCGUGAGUGAAGAAGGUCUUCGGAUCGUAAAACUCUGUUGUUAGAGAAGAACACGAGUGAGAGUAACUGUUCAUUCGAUGACGGUAUCUAACCAGCAAGUCACGGCUAACUACGUGCUAGCAGCCGCGGUAAUCUGAGCGGGCUGGCAAGGC
rnacentral:rRNA from 1 species